UGAGGAUUCUGCCAUUCAAGCGGCUCCGCUCUCAUGCUCUCAGCCAGCCGAUGUCACACGUUCAGAGGGAAGGAGAGCCACAGCACCAGGCGCACUUCUUUUAAUACUCGAAUGAUACGUGAGCUGCUCACAUGCUAGAUAAAAAAACACCUCCUGCCACUGCGGAACAGGGUGACGGAUGUCUCCCACGAGCCAAUGGCAGCGAAAGCCUGGGCGGGAAUAACCUACGCCUUCCAUCCGUCCUCGCCCCCCCUCCUUAGACCAGUCUGCAUCUGAUUCAGCGCCCAUCAGCUCCUCUCUUCAACUCCAAACCCGAUUCUUUCCCUCAAAGAUGGAUGGUUGCAGCGAUGGCGAUCUCGUUUGUUCGGAAAGCCAGAGGUAAAUUGGGAACGGCGAUAAUAAUCUGCUCAUUCCCCGGAGCAUCACCUUGGUCUGUUUCCUCCAUCCACCUCAAGGGAGGACAGGGGCCAUACGACCAUGGUGGGGGCAGGAGGAGAGUGGGGGAGGAGCUGCGAGAGGUGAUGAGAAUAACAUCACUCAUGUUUUGGCUGGGGCAAACCGCUGUGUUUAAGCGAAGCUCCUCUGACUUUGCACGUCUCCACACAGAUGAGCUGAGAGGUCAUCGAGUUCCCUGCUGCUAAAGUGACUGCCAAGUACAGCCAGACACACACUAUCAGAUGCAUAAUAAAAAUGCUGAAACUCUCUCUAUCUCUCCCUUUCUCACACACUCACAUACUCUCUGUUGCAAUACUAAGUAAAUGCAUAAUGUAAUUACUUUCUGAAAAGUGUAUUUACCAGGCUUUGGUCAAAUAAAGUAUU